rnacentral:rRNA from 1 species
UACGUAGGUGGCAAGCGUUGUCCGGAUUUACUGGGCGUAAAGAGCGCGCAGGCGGUCGGAUAAGUCGAAUGUGAAAGCCCCUGGCUCAACCAGGGAGGGUCAUUCGAUACUGUUCGACUCGAAGGCAGGAGAGGGAAGUGGAAUUCCGGGUGUAGUGGUGAAAUGCGUAGAUAUUCGCAAGAACACCAGUGGCGAAGGCGGCUCACUGGCCCGGUACUGUCGCUGAGGUGCGAAAGCGUGGGGAGCAAACAGG